AUGUGCUUUUUAUAUUUUAUAUUUUGGCAACUCAAAAUCCAGUCCUUUCCUCGUCAAAUAGAAUACCACCAGAGUGAAAGUGACAAGACAUACAAUAAAGUUGAGGAAGAGAAGCACAAAGACCUAGAUAGUAACCUAUUUAUUUUCAGAGGAAAAAAAAAUGAAAAAAAAAAAGUCAGAAAAAUAUUUCAUUUGUUUUCAAUUUCCAAAGUUGAAGUUUUAUUGCAUCAAUGCACAUCAAUACCAGAAGAAAGGCCCAAAAGCAAAAGUGAAGUUACUGGACUUCAACCACGACAUUCCCAUGGUACCUAA
rnacentral:lncRNA from 1 species